UCUCCCGGAGGCGCAUGAUGUCCUCGGCCAGGUUGUCGCGCUCCACCUCGACGCGGGCUUUGUCGUUGGUUAGCUGGUCCACCUGCCGGCGCAGCUCCCGCAUCUCCUCCUCGUAGAGGUCCCCCAGGCGCGACUUGCCUUGGCCCUUGAGCUGCUCGAGCUCGGCCAGCAGGAUCUUAUUCUGCUGCUCCAGGAAGCGCACCUUGUCGAUGUAGUUGGCGAAGCGGUCAUUCAGCUCCUGCAGCUCCACCUUCUCGUUGGUGCGGGUGUUCUUGAACUCGGUGUUGAUGGCGUCGGCCAGCGAGAAGUCCACCGAGUCCUGCAGGAGCCGCACCCCGGGCACGCUGCUCCGCAGGCGCACGGCAGAGGAGCGCGUGGCAUACACGCCGCCCGGGGACGAGGCGUAGAGGCUGCGGCUGGUGCUGGGGCGCAGCGCGCUGCCCAGGCUGUAGGUGCGGGUGGACGUAGUCACGUAGCUCCGGCUGGAGCUCGGCCGGCUCGCGGUGCCCGGGCCGCCGAACAUCCUGCGGUAGGAGGACGAGGACACGGACCUGGUGGACAUGGCUGCGGAGGGUGGCGAUGGCCUGGGCGGCGGCGGUGGCGCGGACUGGCUCCCGGAGAAGAGGCGAACGAGGGCGCGACAGCAAAGCUCCCUUUGGAUGACAUAGAUUUAUUACUUAGUAGUAUAUUAUGUAUUGGCUGUCCCACAUUUUGAAAUUUAAUGGACUCGUGGUGAUCAGAAUAAAAGAAGCCUUCGAUGUGAGGCCCAGGCAUUGAGUACCAUGUGUGCGAUUCACAAGCCUUGGCAUCUGAACAAUUUUUUGGAAGGAUCCAUCAGGACAACACGUCGGGGGUGUACUAGUGAAGUGAUUUUCCAAAUGUGCUACUCAGACCUGUAGCAUCAGCAUCACCGGAUAAUUUGUUAGAAAUUCCAACUGUUAGGCCCCACUUUAGACCAACUGAAUGUGAAACUCUGGGAGUACGUGGGGCCCAGCAAUUUGUGUUUUUACAAGACUUACCAGGUGAUUCUGAGAACCACUGUGCUAGUGAAUUGUUCCUGUCUGUGGCCACGUAGAAUAAGAAAACCAUAGGGUUGGAAAAUGGGGAAACUGGAAUUAUCUCGCUGAAUGAAGCAAGAGAUUCAGGAUGUGUAAGAGAAUUUAUGAAGCAUUUGGAUUACCAAGAAAUGUGAAGUAUAAAGAUCAAGAAUGAUUAUUACAAACACUGAUGGUAAAGAGGUGUUUCGAAGUCGAUGCAAAAAAUGAGUUGCUUAUUUCAGUCUCUCUUUGAUAUAUCUGCCUUUUUAGUGCUGACUCUAUCAUGUAUUCACUAUUUGAUUUUCAGUGAAUCACAUUUUUUAAAGCUUUUAAUCU
rnacentral:lncRNA from 1 species